rnacentral:rRNA from 1 species
CGGCGGCCCAAGUGGUGGCCGCUAUUAUUGGGCCUAAAGCGUCCGUAGCCGGGCCCGUAAGUCCCUGGCGAAAUCCCACGGCUCAACCGUGGGGCUUGCUGGGGAUACUGCGGGCCUUGGGACCGGGAGAGGCCGGGGGUACCCCUGGGGUAGGGGUGAAAUCCUAUAAUCCCAGGGGGACCGCCAGUGGCGAAGGCGCCCGGCUGGAACGGGUCCGACGGUGAGGGACGAAGGCCAGGGGAGCGAACCGGAUUAGAUACCCGAGUAGUCC